UGUGCGCUCUUUGAAGAAUAAAAGUUCCCUCCCGUGAGGGCUGUUAGAUGAGAGAUGUCUCUGAGUUAUGUUUUCAUUAUAUUAGCUCAGUGAUCAGACCGCCCGCUCCUAAAUAUUGGUGGCCCGUACGGGAAGUUCAAUCUACUGGGAGAGGGUUUCGGUCACACCCUCUCAAGAGCCGGGCCUGGCGGGCUGUGGUUCGGGGCCCACAACGGGAGAGGGAUCUUUUGGGAAGCCAUACAUAUGGAUUCCUUUCUCUGACCGAUUGGUGCAUCCAAAUGCAGCACACCCAACCAUGGGAGGUCAGCAGAUGUGAUGACUGACUUCAAAAGGAGCUGCUGCCAAUGAUGCCAAGGAGGAUGAACCCUCAUUCGGACUUGGGCACAUUUCUACCUUGUCCAGA